rnacentral:misc_RNA from 1 species
AUGAAUAAACUUGGUUAGGUUGUUGCUGGUUCUUAGGAGCAUGUGCACGCCGACUCCAUCUUUAACCACCUGUGCACCUUGCGUAGAUCUGAUAUUCUCGAGGAAACUCGGUUUGAGAAUUGCUGUGCACUUGCCAGCUCUUCUUGUAAUCAGGUCUAUGUUACUAUAUACUCCACAUGAAUGUAAUCGAAUGCUUUCAUUGGCCUUUGUGCCUUUAAAAACAAAUA